rnacentral:rRNA from 1 species
UACGUAGGGUGCAAGCGUUGUCCGGAAUUAUUGGGCGUAAAGAGCUCGUAGGCGGUCUGUCACGUCGGCUGUGAAAACCCGAGGCUCAACCUCGGGCCUGCAGUCGAUACGGGCAAACUAGAGUACUGCAGGGGAGUCUGGAAUUCCUGGUGUAGCGGUGAAAUGCGCAGAUAUCAGGAGGAACACCGGUGGCGAAGGCGGGUCUCUGGGCAGUAACUGACGCUGAGGAGCGAAAGCGUGGGGAGCGAACAGG